rnacentral:sRNA from 1 species
AGUGAAUGGGAUGGAUAUCAAUUGAACCCUGCUCAGUCACACUACUCCAGGGCAAAAGGGGUGCUGAAAUCUGCCUGGCUCCCCGAGCUAGUUAAUCACUGCCGCUCUCGAAUCACGGGGGAAUUAAAUUACCAGUAAAGGCCGGACCUUAUGGCUAGCUUAGGUGAUAGCGUUGGACAAGUAUGGUACUCUUGGUUGCAACAACACUCUGUUCAAGAAAGACAGAUGAGAAGAGCAAAUUGGGCAAUAUCUCAAGCAGCUGAUAUGGCUACCAUAGAGACCGGCCAAAAGACGUCCAAAGAGGAAUGUGUAAUGUCGUCGUGAACUCAAAGGUCAAAGUAAGGCUAUCAAUUCCAACUGAAUAGAGCAUGCUAAAACAAGAUAUGCCUUGCUGCUAUAAUACAC